AGAAGAUUAAGUGAGUUUCUCUGUAUAUAAGAGUUCGGACAUUAAACUAAUCACAUAGCUUACUUUCCUUCCUCAUUGCGAUCAAAAGAACUCUCACUCAUAAUGAAGCACCCCCCCGCCCCCAAUGUUCCUUAGUCACGGACUCACAGGUCCGCAACAAGUACAUCAAAAUACAAAGCAGAAGAAAAGAGGUUGACUUCAAUCCGCGUUAUUCAAACCACAAUCACGUUUGUGGCACUAAACACCAACCUUCAUCUUCCUCAAUUGGAUCAAUCACAUAUUCCGCAUUAAAGAAACUCAUCUCUUCAUAAUUACCAUCUUCCUCAACCUCAUCAAAAUCCACCCUCACAUCACAUCACAUCAUGAUCAUGAUCAUUUCUAUUAUCAUAGGCUCCACUGACACUCACUUGCAUAACCAUUGAUUUCAUCAUCUUCUUCGUCAUCAUCAUCGUUGUUAUCAUAAUGACUAGUAGACAGAUGAUCCAAAAUCCCCGUGGCGGAAGACCCGGAAAAUUUGACCAAACGAUGAUUGGAUAUGACGUCGGAUGACUUGAGCUUGUGGCUCCCUUUGGUCUUGUCCUUGGCCUUAGAAGCCGGGUGGAUGUGACACUUGGUGCACCUGGGCUUGCCGCACUUACCCGUGAACUUGGAGUGGUUGGUGGGCUUGGUGGCCACCUUGGUGAAUAACCCUGCUGUAGAAAGUGAAUCGAACUUGUUCACCUGUCGGCUUCCGGGUCUCAGGUUCAAUGGGUCUGGUAGGACCCGGUAAGGCCGGAACAUCCCGUGCUGGCGACCCUCGCUCUUCAUUCUUGACAAAUGGAGCUGUGGGCUGAAUGAAAGAUUGAAAGAAGGAUGAAUGAUGGAGGUGUUAGAUUGUGCCCUCUCUCAUUAUAUAGUGUUGCUUGUGGGAAUGAAAACUUGGGAAGCACGGUCUUUGGUUUGGCAGGUCCUAAUUCUUGUGGACCAAGCCAAUAAAUUAUUCAAGAUUGACAACUUGUCAAGAUAAAGAAUCUUUUUCGCAUUAAAAAUCUCAGUUGAUGUUUUUUUCCUGGAACUUGCUCGGCUCCUCCACAGCAGAAAAAUUUCUCUG
rnacentral:lncRNA from 1 species